GCCUCCGUGGCGAAACUGGCAGACGCGCCGGCCUCAAACCCCGGUGCCUGGAACGGCGUGCCGGUUCGAGUCCGGCCGGGGGCACCA
rnacentral:tRNA from 1 species